GAUGAACGCUGGCGGCGUGCCUAAUACAUGCAAGUCGAGCGAACGGACGAGAAGCUUGCUUCUCUGAUGUUAGCGGCGGACGGGUGAGUAGCACGUGGAUAACCUACCUAUAAGACUGGGAUAACUUCGGGAAACCGGAGCUAAUACCGGAUAAUAUUUUGAACCGCAUGGUUCAAAAGUGAAAGACGGUCUUGCUGUCACUUAUAGAUGGAUCCGCGCUGCAUUAGCUAGUUGGUAAGGUAACGGCUUACCAAGGCAACGAUGCAUAGCCGACCUGAGAGGGUGAUCGGCCACACUGGAAAUGAGACACGGUCCAGACUCCUACGGGAGGCAGCAGUAGGGAAUCUUCCGCAAUGGGCGAAAGCCUGACGGAGCAACGCCGCGUGAGUGAUGAAGGUCUUCGGAUCGUAAAACUCUGUUAUUAGGGAAGAACAUAUGUGUAAGUAACUGUGCACAUCUUGACGGUACCUAAGCAGAAAGCCACGGCUAACUACGU
rnacentral:rRNA from 1 species